AGAGUUGUAGCGGAGUGAGUGAGCCAGAAAAAAAGGAGAGGAAAGAUAUCUAAAUACGUAGGGUUGAGGAGGAGCCAACGAAUCCCGAACUCAAUCUGUAGGAUUCCAACACAAUAUUUGAGGAGGAUUUAUUCGCGCAUGUGAUUUAUAAUUGAAAGAUUCCCUCUGCAGCUCUCAAAACCACUAACCCUAAUAGCUGAACUCCAAAGAGAUAAAAUAACAGCAAGUGGCCCUCAUCAAUUCUAAGUAUAUAUAUAAAAUCAUUGCCGCCAUCACUUCUUCUCCAUACUCUUGUCUCACUCUAACAGCCAAAGCAUGGCUUCUCUCUCUUGCUCCGCCAACGACCUUGCCCCACUCUUCAACGACACCGCCGCCGCCAACUACCUCUGCGCCCAAUUCGAUUCCAUUUCUAGAAAGCUCGCCGAAACAACCUACGCCGUCGACAACACCUACCUUCUGUUUUCAGCGUAUCUUGUCUUCGCCAUGCAGCUCGGCUUCGCCAUGCUCUGCGCCGGCUCCGUCAGAGCCAAAAACACCAUGAACAUCAUGCUCACCAACGUCCUCGACGCCGCCGCCGGCGGUCUCUCCUACUACCUAUUCGGCUUUGCAUUCGCCUUCGGCGGCCCCUCCAACGGCUUCAUCGGCCGCCACUUCUUCGGCCUACGAGAUUACCCGAUGGGCUCCUCUCCCUCCGGCGACUACAGCUUCUUCCUCUACCAGUGGGCCUUCGCCAUCGCCGCCGCAGGAAUCACCAGCGGCUCCAUCGCCGAGAGAACACAGUUCGUGGCUUACCUUAUCUACUCUUCUUUCUUAACCGGUUUCGUUUACCCCAUCGUUUCGCAUUGGUUCUGGUCCUCGGACGGUUGGGCCAGCGCGAGUCGUAGCGACGGAAAUGUUUUAUUCGGGUCUGGAGUCAUCGACUUCGCGGGCUCAGGCGUUGUUCACAUGGUUGGCGGGAUAGCGGGCCUGUGGGGGGCUUUAAUUGAAGGCCCGAGAAUCGGCCGGUUCGACCGUUCGGGCCGGUCGGUUGCUUUACGUGGCCACAGCGCGUCUUUAGUUGUGCUUGGUUCGUUUUUGUUAUGGUUCGGCUGGUACGGCUUCAACCCUGGUUCGUUUCUGACAAUAGCCAAGGGGUAUGGAAGUGGAGGGUAUUAUGGUCAAUGGAGCGCUAUAGGGAGGACAGCUGUCACGACGACAUUGGCUGGGAGCACUGCGGCUCUGACGACGUUGUUCAGCAAGCGGUUAUUGGCUGGCCACUGGAACGUGAUUGACGUGUGUAACGGCCUGCUUGGCGGGUUCGCUGCCAUUACAUCGGGCUGUGCCGUUGUGGAACCGUGGGCCGCGAUUGUGUGUGGGUUUGUGGCGGCGUGGGUUUUGAUUGGGCUUAAUAAGCUUGCCGCGAAGGUAGAGUACGAUGAUCCGUUGGAGGCGGCGCAGCUUCACGGCGGGUGCGGCGCGUGGGGUGUUUUCUUCACGGGAUUGUUUGCGAAGAAAGUGUACGUGGAGGAGAUUUACGGUGUUGGAAGGCCGUUCGGGGCUUUGAUGGGUGGCGGAGGGAGGCUGCUGGCGGCGCAGGUGAUUCAGAUAUUGGUGGUGUGCGGGUGGGUUACGGCGACCAUGGCGCCGUUGUUCUAUGGGCUUCAUAAGAUGAAACUGUUGAGAAUUUCGAGGGAUGAUGAGACUGCGGGGAUGGAUUUGACGAGGCAUGGUGGGUUUGCUUAUGCAUACCAUGAUGAUGAAGAUGGUUCAAGCAGGGGAGUAGGGUUCAUGCUGCGUAGAAUUGAGCCUGCUGCUAGUACCACUCCCUCUCCCCCCGCUGCACCACAAGUUUAAUCAAAAUGUGGUUUAUGAUUUUCAAGCGUUUUUUAGUUUCGUACCUGCACAUAGCUAUGGGCAAAGCUAGCCUUGUCAAAACCAUAUACAAGCAAGACACGAGGGAUGCAUAUAUGAAGUAUAAAAAUUAAUGCGUGGGGGUCAACAUUUAGGAAAUGUCUUCUAGAGUUACUGUACAUUUUAAAAUGUUUGUUGGCUUGGUUUAUUAUUUUCAUCUUUGAAUUCCAAGACUAGUUUGGUCGACUGUUGUCACGUUAGUUUGUAUCCUGCUGCAGAAUAACUUGCUUGUAAUUGUAUACUGAUUAGUUGGUAUAUAGUGAUAUAUUAUAUAUACUAAAUGCAUUAAUGCAGGUUAUGAUUUUGCUAAUCUUGUUAUAUUAGUGUUUCAACAUACAUUUUUUUCUUUUGAUAUAAAAUAAAUAUCAUAGCUGAAGGUCCAGUACCAUCCAUCUCAGCUUGGUAUCUUGAAAUAUGUUCUCAGAGAAUAAGAUACUUCAUCAUAACAGAAGACCGAAAGUGUAGGAGCAUCAAAAGCAAAUAAAUAUAAUUUAAUAUUUGAAUAGUAUUGUACAUGAAAAUCUUAUGGCCUAACUAUGGAAACUUCAUAAAAAAUAUAUUUGUUUUGUGGUUUUGAAGUUCAUUGUGCUUCCAAUACAUGCAUAUUUGUACACUUCAAUAUUAAUUCUCGCAAGUAAAUAAUAAGGACUAUAGGAUAAUAGGAACCUAAUUCAUAUUUUGUCACGAUCUUGGUGAGAAAUAAAAAACAAUGCAUACAGUUUUAUCUCAACAGUCAACAACUCAUCAACGUGACAAAUAUUUUAUCGCUUAGAGCUUUAUUUGUACAGUUGUAAAGUUCACAACAUCAUUUGAGAAAGCAAGACUGAAAUUAAUCAAGAGAAAGGAGAAGUUAAAAAUUUAUUUUAUAUUGACAGACAGACAUUUGCAUGUUAUCAUCAUUAUUUUUCUGGCUAACCAAUUAAUUAAUAAACCACAAUCUAAAUCGGAUAAUAUAUAUUGAUGAACAGAAUUUCUUACACGCCAUUUUUUUUCUACACACUUUUUUUUUUGUUAAAGUAAAAAGUAAGGAGAGUGUAUUAAAAAGAAAAUGUGUAAGUAUUAAUUAUUUUAUUAAGAGAAAAUUAUUCAAGGAAAACUCUAUACAAAGCCGUGGUUUAAAAUGUACGUAGCAUUAUGAAUUUGGUUACACACACAUAUUCCUACAGUUUUUCAGAAGAAAUGUUUUAAUAAGUUACAUGCUUGCAAUAUUUUAACACACACAUAUAUGGAGAUGCUUAAAAUUGUUCCAUUAUUUUAAAUUAAUUCCUUAUAUACAUAUAUGUUUUUAUUUUUUCAUGUUACCUUAAACCCUAAACCCUAUAAAAAAACUAAGAUUUUUAUCUCUUAUAUUUUUUCUCAACUAUUACAUUAGUCCAACACAUCAGGGUACGUAUCCUGGCAAUGUAGCAAGACUAUAAGCUGGGGCAAGCAUAGAAAAGGAGAAAUGUUAGUUAAGAAAUUAAUAAGACACUAAUAUUAUUUAGAAUUUCAAGUUAUUUUUAACAAGGAGAUUCAACUGUGUAUUUUUAACUAGUUUAAAAUAAAAAAAUGGAGGAUGCUCACUCACGCCAUUCUUGUGGACCUCGACCUUCCAGUCAAGUUCCUUCGAAAAGCUUGAGAUGACAGACCACCCAAUAGCCUCAUGUCAUAAUUAAUCAUUCAAUCAAUUAAAAUAAUGUUGAUCUUGGAGAGCUUCCAACGAGUUAUGUAAUGAAUAUCAUUUUUUUUAAGCAUAUGUAAUUGUGGGGGAAUGUGCAAAAUAAUUAUUUUCAUGUAAUGAGUGUAUUCCCAUGAUUUCAGCUUGUCAAUAACUGUUUUGUGAUAGCAACUUUGAUGACUCCUUCCCCCAUUUAUACUAGGCAAGGGAUAGUCAGUAGCCAUCUUCAUCAUUAGCUCUUAGGCUGGAUUAGAUCAAAUCACCUCUAAUUUCUUAUCAUUGUUUCAUCCGUUGAAUUGGGAAAUAUAGUUAUCCAUAAUUAUCUAUAUGUUUAUAUCCAAUCUUAUAAAAAAAGGGAAUGAUAAAUUAUAAUUUAAGUGAUAUUUUAUAUGAAUUUUUAUGUUAUUUUAUGUAUUUUUUUUACACAAAAUUUACAUUUGGACUUUAAUUUUUUACUUUGCAAAAAUAUAAUCAUUCAAUCAAGUGAAAAAAUUGAAAAAUAUAUAAUUUCAUGAAGAUUUAAUGUUAUUUUUACUUGAUAAUGGUCAUAGUACAUUAACCACAGUCAUGAUCAUUCAAGAAGAUCACGAUCAAUCAAUCAUGAGGGUCUUUGUCAUUUCAUAAUAACUCAAGCUUCGACGUCAGGAUUCUGAUAAUGAUCGUGAUGAAUAUCACCAUGACCAUCGUAAUCUUAAUUAAGAAAAAUUAUCUUUAUAGAUCAUAUUAGAAUAUAUAUAUAUAUAUAGAGUAUGUGUGUCUAAUUAAAGUAAUUAUCUUUAGGAGUCUAUAAAUAAGAAGUUAGAAUUUGUACUUGAUGGAUUCAAAAUUCAUUAUACAUUUUAUGAAUAUUAAGAGCUUUUGAGAGGAGAAUUGUACCACGAGCCAUUGAAGUAUGAAUAUAUAAGGAUUUUUUUUAUCUCUUUUAUUUUUAUAAUGCAAUAUUGUAUAGUUAUUCUAUGGCUAUGGUUGGUUAAACCUCUUAGAACUUGGAUUGUGAUGUAGUUGUAUUCAUGUAUUCUAAUUCUUAUUUUUAAUAAAGUUCUUCUAUGUUAUUCAAUUAAUUGUAUCUUUCUAUCAUUUUCACUUCCAUAUUAGAAUUGGUCACUCUAAUUAUUAGUUAAUUGUGUAUUUUUUACCAUCUUCUCAUAAUUAAUUGACUUAUAGAAUGAUAGAGUUCAUAAAGAUUGCAUGACCAGGCUGACCACAUGAAUCUCCUGUUUACACGUAUAUGUCAUUCAAGUUAAAUCUAAACAACGUAAGAUUGAUUUAGGGGAAGAAUAUUCUUAGACCUUGAUCAUAUGCUAAUAAUUAAAAUAAUAGAUAAGAUAGUUAAUAGACAACUAGGAUUUCUUACUUAAAAUAUGAAUUAGGUAAAAAUGAUACGUAAAAUCAUAAUUAAGUCACUUUUAUUCAUACAUAUCUUUUAUCUGUUGCUUGUCUUUAUUUUUUUUAUUUUCUUAAUUGUAAACACAAAUAAUCUCUAACUCAAGAUAAAAACUCAAAAUUAUUUAGUUUAUACGAUUUAGAUUAUUUGAAAAUAUAAAUAAUCUCUAAGAUAUGAUAUCCUAACUUUUGAGUAUACAGUUUUUACUCUAUAGGAUACACUUACCCUCAACGAAUAUGUAUUUAAACUAAUAAUUAAUAAGAAUAUAAUUAAAUAAAUUUUUAUUUUCAUGUAUUCCAAGGGAUGUGUUAGUGAAGUAAAAGAUUAGAUUAAUUUAAAAUGUUAUAAAAAAAUUUAAUUUAUAUAUAUAUAUAUAUAUAUAUAUAUAUAUAUAUAUAUAUAUAUAUUGACAUACACGUAGAGUGAUCUUCAAGAGAAGGAUGCUGUGUUAAAUUAAUAUAAGAAAUGAUGAAAAUUCAACAAACUUGUUAAAUGGGUAUUUUCUUCUCCAUUGAUAUUGAAAACCGGACUACUCCCUACGAUCAGCUAACGGACUGUUCCAUUCCGCGAGCUCUCAAUAUCCCUGACGGUAAUCAAUCAGCAAAUUGCUUUAUGCAUUUCCUGAAUUGUUUAUGGGAAGUGCUGGAAGCAAUUUCAAAAGUGCAGGAAAAGAGAAAAAACACCUGAAUGUAUAGAUGUAUUUUAAUAACCUAUUAAUUACUCAAUCUAUUCUUUUUAACGAUCUUUUUAAUACUUGAAAAAAUUGUAUAAGUUUCACUAAUUAAUAUAUGAUAUUCAUUAAAUAAAGACAAAUUUCAUCCAUACUUUGUUGCUACCGUUUCACAUGUUACCAGUAGGUGUGGCAUGAUCUACAAAUAAUGUUAAUCACACACUCUAUUCGUGACUCACAUGUAAAUUUUACCCAGAAGAAUGUUCAAAAGAAGCAUUUUUCGUUCAAUACAAUAUCCCUUAAAUAAUUAAAUUUAAGUGAACAAAAAAAUUAUUGGGUUUUUUUUCUAAAAAUUUUGGUGUAUAAUGCAAUUUUUUUUGCACAAAAAAUUAUUGGGGUUUUUUCUAAAUUUUUUGGUGUAUAAUACUAAUGCAUCUUAACUAAAAAGUUUGUAUAAUAUCACUCUCUCUUAAGAAAAAAUCAUGAGAAUAAAAAGAAAUCGAUAUGCGUAAAAUUUCAGGCAUCAUAUUUCAGACAUCAUAUCUAGCAAUUUCCAAUCGUGUUUUUUUGCAUUCAUAUAUAUGCAAAUUCCUUAUUUAUUGUUGACUACAACUCAAAAUUUCCUUUUCCGGCCCUUUCAUCGAUCGAAACAAACAAAACAGUGGAAGUGGUAGAAACAAGAAUGGAAAUAUAUAGCACAAUAUUAAUUCUAUAAUUACGUACAAUUAAAGAAUGAAACAUUUAGAGUAGAAGGAUUGUUUGAAACUGAAGUACAUUGAUAUAUAUACGUUGUAUAUAGUUUAUAAUCAGGGGCACUGAGGAUUGUUCCCAGGCCCACCAUAGUAGAAGUAAGUGCCCCAUUCGCAUAGAGAAAUAGGUUUAUAACUUUUAUUAAUAAUUUGAUAUUAGUUUACAGUGAUAUAUAUACAAGUGAACAGCUUUAUGUGAUCCCUAAUAUGUAGUGAAUCAAGCUACCAAUCUCCUAAUAAUUCUCAACAAAUCAGAAUUGGAAAUAACAGAUUUACACGGCUAAAUAAUUAAAGGAAUUGAAAAUUAAUUAUUAUUAUUGAUAUCCUCAUUAAAGGAAUUGAAAACUAAUUAUUAUUAUUGAUAUCCUCCCGCAAGUUGUAUAAUCUGGAUGAGAGAUGCAACUUGGACAGUAGCGAUUCGAACCGAGGGCGAAGCAGAGACUUUGUUAGAAUAUCAGCAAGUUGAUCAUCGGUAGACACAAAAGACACUCGAAACUUGCCAUGUUGAACAUGUUCUCGGACAAAGUGAUAGACUAAGGCUAUAUGUUUCAUCCGAGAGUGGAAGACAGGAUUAGCACUGAGAUUUGUGGCACCAAGAUUGUCACAGUAUAUGACUGGAUUGGCAGUGGACAUGUGACCAAGUUCUGUGAACAAGGAAAGAACCCAUAAUAGUUCACUAGCCGUGUCAGCCAAGGCUUUGUAUUCUGCUUCAGUUGAUGAUCGAGCAACAAAACGUUGUUUGCGGGAGCUCCAGGAGAUGAGAGUGUUACCGAGAUACAACAAGUAACCAGUGGUUGAAACAUAAUCAUCCUUGUCACCAGCCCAAUCAGCAUCCGAGUAGGCAUGAAAGGUCAAAGGAGCAGUCGCUGAGAUGAAGACUCCUUUGUCACAAGAGCCCGCCAAAUAUCGGAGCACUCGUUUGAGUGCAGACCAAUGCGCUGUUCUUGGAUUUUGCAUGAACUGUGCAAGUUUGUUGGUGCUGAAGGCGAUGUCUGGACGUGUAAGACUCAAGUAUUGAAGGCUUCCAACCAGUGUGCGGUACUCAUUUGGAGAGGGUAGGAGAUCACCAGAAUCCUUAAGUAAUUGAACACUUGCUGACAAAGGAGUGGAUGUUGGUUUUGUAUUUGUCAUGCCUGAUUUAUGUAGCAGAUCAAUGAUAUAUUUCCUUUGUGAAAGAAACAUUCCUGCAGCGGAAGGAAUUACUUCGACACCCAAGAAAUAACUGAGACAUCCAAGAUCUUUUAACGAAAACCGAGAAGCAAGUGUGGCAAUGAGUUUGGACAGCUCUGCAGAUGAAUUUCCAAUCAUAAUUAUAUCAUCAACAUAUACUAAUAAGUAAAGUGUAACCUCUGGUUUUUGGUAGAUGAAAAAAGAUGCAUCUGCAGUGGAAUUGACAAAAUCAAGGGAGAGCAGGAAUACGCGAAGCUCCGUAUACCAGGCGCGGGGUGCUUGCUUCAGCCCAUAGAAUGCCUUUUUGAGGCGACAAACAUGAUCAGGAAAGUUUUUGCUGACAAAACCAGGUGGUUGUAUCAUGAAGACUUCCUCCUUAAGUGUCCCUUGAAGAAAUGCAUUGUUGACAUCAAGCUGACGUAUGGGCCACCCUUGACGAACUGCAAGAGUUAGGACAAUGCGAAUGGUCACCGGUUUAACAACGGGGCUAAAAGUUUCUGUAUAGUCCCAACCAGGGCGUUGGUGAAACCCUUUGGCGACUAACCGAGCCUUGUAACGAUCAAUUGAUCCGUCUGGAUUUCGUUUGAUUCAAAAUACCCAUUUACAACCAACCAAAUUUUGAUCAGAGGACCGACUGACAAGAUCCCAAGUGUUGUUGUGGUGUAAGGCAUCAAAUUCGGCUUGCAUGGCUGAGCGCCAAUCAGGGUCGCGAAGGGCCUGGGUGAUGGUGUUGGGUUCAAUGGGAGAGGAGGCUUGGACAUGGAGAUUAAGCUUUUGGAUGGGUUUUUAGACCGAGUGAUGAUCCCACCUCCAUUUGGGUUAACAAUGGUUUGGGGUGGUGGAGCAGAGAGUUGCGGGGAUGAUUGUGAGGUUGGAGGAGGAGAUUGAGUGGGGUUUGUGGGUUCGGUGGAGGACUGGGCCAUAUAUGGGGAGUUGGUGAUGGAUGGGGAGGAAGGGGCAGGAGAUGAAUCUUCCGGUGGGUUCAUGGGUUGUAAGAUGGAGAGUUGAAGUGGGCCUAUUUGUUGCUCCGGACUUGGACUAGCGUGAGUUACUAGGGAGUUGAACGGGAAUUCAGAUUCAACGAACUUCACAUGCCGAGAGGUGUAGAUCCUUCCUGUUGUGGGAUCGAGACACAAAUAUGCAUGUUGAUCAGCCGAGUAACCUACAAAAACACACAUAGUAGACUUUGGUGCAAGUUUAUGGUUAGCAUAUGGUUUAAUCCAGGGAAAACACAAACAUCCAAAACACUUUAACUUAUGAUAAUCCGGACUAAUGUUGAGCAAUUUAGAAUAGGGUGAUUGGUACCCAAGAAUUGGAGUUGGGAGGCGAUUUAUGAGAUAAGCGGCGGUGGUCAUGGCGUGAGGCCAAUAGGUGAGGGGCAAGCCCGAGUGAUGGAGAAGAGAGAGACCGGUUUCAGCAAUGUGACGAUUCCGGCGUUCUGAAAUUCCAUUAUGUUCAGGUGUAUGAGGUGGCGUUGUAUGAUGACUUAUACCAUGAUUUAGUAAAAAAGGGCGAAGACCAAUAUAUUCGCCACCAUUAUCUGUGUAAAGAAUUUUUAUUUUGUGAUGAUAGAAAUUUUCAACGAGCGAUUUGAAUUUGGGAAAUAUAGUUUGCAUAUCAGAUUUUCGUUUCAUUGGAUAUAGCCAAAUAUAGCAAGUAAAAUGAUCAACAAACAUGCAAUAAUAGCGAAGACCAUCAAUUGAUAGAAUAUGAGAAGUCCAGACAUCAGAGAAAAUUAUUUCUAAUGGAUAACAAGAUUUAAGAGUGGAUUCAUGGAAUGGAAGUUUAUGACUUUUGCUAAUUUGACACGAGUUACAAUCGGAUUGCGGAAAUUUAUUUGAGCCUAAGGAAAAAUGUUUCUGAACAAAUUUGAAAAUAGAAGAUGAAGGGUGCCCAAGCCUAUGAUGCCAUGAUGCAGAGGAUUCUGUUCGAACCGUGUGGACGGAGGGUGAGGUGGCGGGCCAGAGAUAGAGUCCAUCCACACAUGAGCCUUUAUGGGUUGUGUGACCCGUCUGCAAGUCCUUCACAUAAAAAGAGUUUGGCAGGAAAACAACAACAGAGUUAGUUUGUUGGGUAAGUUUAGAGACAAAGAUUAUUUUUUGUUUCAUGGAAGGAACACACAAAGCAUUAGACAAGGAUAAAUCAUUAAGUAAAAGUGUUCCAGAAUGAGUGAUGUUUAAACCUGAACCAUUACCCAUAAACAGUGAGUCAGGACCAGUGUACGGAUGAUGAAGCGCCAGAUUAUCGAGAUCAUUGGUUACGUGAUGUGUCGCUCCACUGUCAAACAGAAAAUCAUGUUGCGAUGGGCCGGCAGUUGCAGUAUUGACCUGAACAUGUCCAGUGUGGGACGGAGAGUUACGAGGUGGCGGUGGGACACUAGGAUGCUGCUGCUGGAAGGUUUUGCACUGAGAGAGAACAUGACCUUUGAUGUUGCACCACUGACAGCGGCCGAGAAAAGGUUUGCGAGUGCCAGUGCGUUGAGUUGAUUGUGCAGGGUUUUGUCCAUGCCGAGAUUUGUCAUUGGAAUUGGGUCGAGCCUGAGCAUUCAAGGCUGUCAGCGGGGCAGGAGUUUGUCUUUGGGCAGCACCAAUUGAAAGUUCCUGAAUCAGAAGCCGUUCAUGGAGGUCAUCAAAAUUGAUUGGGGUGUCCCUUGCAUUCACGACAUCAAUGAUUGCUCUAUAGCCGUCGUCGAGACCGUGUAAGACAUAAUCAGUCAUGUCUUCAACAGAAACAUGAGAGCCAAGUGAUGCAAGGAGAUUUGCAGUUUGCUUUAGGUGAUGCAUAUAGGUAGUGAUGGAUUGGGUACCUUGGGAAGCCGUACGGAGACGUUCCUUUAACUGCUUGAGAUGGCUGCGAGAUGCUUUGGCAUAGGUGUUUUUGAGAAGGAUCCAGAGAUCAUGCGAGGUCUUGGUUUGAGACACCAGGGAGGCCACUUCAUUAUAGAGAGUGGUGAGGAGAGCACCAUAUAUAAGGCGGUCCUGUCGACGCCAGGUUUGGUAAGCAGGAUUCUGAGUUGUUACCGGAAGUGAUGCAGUGGUGGGGUCGUUUCCGAUGGAGUCGGCGUCGAAGAUGUUGGAGUGGUGAGGAUCGUUUCUGACGGCGCAGGAAAAGAUCUAUCUGGAUAUUGGAGGAGAUCAUAGCCAUCAAGGAGAGCUUCAACUUGUUGUUUCCAAUUAGGAUAAUUGUUGGGAAGAAGUUUGGUGACAUUGGUGAAAGUGAUGCAAGCAAGGGGUUUGGAUGGCUCAUGGGGGUUGGGAAUGAAGGAGUUGUUGUCGGCCAUGGGAGGCAAGGGUGGGGAACGACGUCCUUAAUUGAAGAAAUAGGGAAUGGGUGGAUCGUUUAGGCUGAUACCAUAUAGAGAAAUAGGUUUGUAACUUUUAUUAAUAAUUUGAUAUUAGUUUACAGUGAUAUAUAUACAAGUGAACAGCUUUAGGUGAUCCCUAAUAUGUAGUGAAUCAAGCUACCGAUCUCCUAAUAAUUCUCAACAAAUCAGAAUUGGAAAUAACAGAUUUACACGGCUAAAUAAUUAAAGGAAUUGAAAACUAAUUAUUAUUAUUGAUAUCCUCAUUAAAGGAAUUGAAAACUAAUUAUUAUUAUUGAUAAUUCGUUGCUGUAGUAGCUCUUGAUGUCGUAACAGUUUGUGUUUUCGGCCAAGGUUGAGAUGCUCUGCACAGAACUCAAACUGUUAUCCGUGUCUACGAUCUGAAGGUUCCGGAAGUAGCUUGCUUUUCCGAAACCAUCCUCGGCGAAGUGUCCAGAGCCCAUUUGGAUAAAGGUGUGUUGGCCGUUGGUCCGGGAAUUUACCACCUCUCCUCCCCACUCCACCAUCGUGGCGUGGUCGGCUAAGUGUGUGAAUAACUCUGCGGGCCAAUACCCUACCAAUGUGUUGUCACCAAAACUCAUCCACCAAUUCCCUGUUGGUUAAUUUUGAAAAUCGAGAUAAUCCUGGAUAAAUCUGAAGUCGUGUAUAAACACUUUCAGAUUGAAUCAAAUUUCGAGGUUCAACCAAAAUUGUUCAAUCGGAUAAAAUCAGAAGAUUAUAAUUCAAGAGUUUUUUUUUUGGUCUUGUAUGUUUUUCACAUCUUAUGCUUUCUGAACCAAGAUGAUUAUUUAUAAUCAAAGAACAGGUGGUUUUUGGCGGUUGAUGAAAGUUAUUUAUUUUUAAAAAUUACCGUUGAUGGAAGUUUUAGUAACUUCCAUGUAACUUCCAACCGUUGAUGGAAGUUUUAGUAACUUCCAUGUAACUUCCAACCUUUGCCUAAACCGAACAUCUCGUUAUUACAUUAAAACAAGCGUGCACUCUUAUUUUAACAUAAUAAAGAGAUCAAUUACACUAAAAUGUCCAACAAACCUCCCCCAUUUUAGUGUAAUUACCGAUCAAAUCACCAAAGUCAUAACAUACCACAAACUACUGCAUAGAUGAAAUAUCGUGACGAUUGAAUUUCAUCUUAGCAAAUUACACGUUUCAAAUAUUCGAAUAUCAGGGUGUCACUAAGGAUUGAACCCUUUCUAUUCAUAAUGAAUACAUGAAGAUAAUCUGCACAAUAGUUUAUAACAUUACUCUUGCUCGACACUAGUUUUACUAGCUUGUGUCCCUAUCCUUCAUAAGCAUAUCAAAGCCAAGUCCCAGCUUCUUGAAGCGGCUAAACUUCAUGCUUAUAUAGGUAGUCCUUUUCUUUCUUGCACCUGCAAAUGCAAUUUUUCAAAAGGACCAUUGAGAAGUUAUACUUCAACCUCCUUAACUUACAGAACCGAACACAUUCCUUUUAGGAUACUUUCGAUGAUGUGUUCCAAUCUCUACAUGUUAAGCUUUCCACAUUGAAUUCAGCACCUAAUGUCAUAUUAGAUGGGAAUUGGGUAUCUUAACAUAAGAGAUUUCAGAUGGACUUUAAUCCUAAUCCCACAAUCGACCUUUUCACGAGAUCUCUACUUAACCCUUUGGUUAAAUGAUCGGCCAAAUUAUGCUGAGUUCUCACAAACUCCACUGAUAUCACACCAUGCAUGAUUAACUCCCGAAUCAUGUUGUGUCUAACACCCAAGUGUCUAGACUUCCCAUUAUACACUUGACUAUAUGCCUUAGCCAAAGUUGCCUGACUAUCACACCUGAUAGACAUGGGAGGUAUAGGUUUGGGCCACAAUGGAAUCUCAUAGAUCAGAUUUCUUAGCCACUCAACUUCUUUACCAGCUGCUGCUAAAGCUACAAAUUCAGAUUCCAUUGUUGAAUUUGUAAUGCAGGUCUGUUUCUUGGAUGCCCAAGAGAUAGCACCUCCUCCAAGGAGGAAUACCCAACCACUUGUGGAUGAAUAAUCCUCCAUAUUGGUUAUCCAACUUGCAUCAGAGUAACCUUCAAUAACCGAAGGAAAUCCAGUAUAUGUCAAACCAUAAUCAAUGGUUCCCUUUAAGUAUUUGAAUACUCUAUUCAUAGCUUGCCAAUGAUAAGAACUAGGAUUACUUGUAAACCUACUGAGUUUAGCAACAGCAUAAGCUAUAUCAGGCCUAGUACUAAUCAUUGCAUACAUGAGUGAUCCUAUCCCCCUUGAGUAUUCAAGUUGAGACACUGUUACACCUUUAUUAGGUAAUAGCUUCAGGUUAGGAUCAAUGGGAGUACUUACCGGAGAACAAUCUUUAAAAUUAAAUUUCUCCAAUAUCUUCUCAAUAUAAUGUGAUUGAGAGAUGGAAAUACCAUUGUUUCCACGUUUGAUCUUUAUUCCUAAGAUCACAUCCGCCUCCCCCAUAUCUUUCAUAUCAAACUUAGAAGACAAAAAUGUCUUAGUUUCAUCAACUUGAUCUUUGUCGGUACCAAAGAUCAACAUGUCGUCUACAUACAGACAAAUGAUAACUCCUUUGCCAUGAGUAUCAAACUUGCUGUAUAGACAUUUAUCUGCUUGGUUUAUAACAAAACCACUAGACAACACAACCUCAUCAAAUUUUUGAUGCCAUUGCUUAGGCGCUUGUUUCAAGCCAUAAAGAGAUUUCAUCAGUUUACACACCUUAUUUUCAUUUCCUGGCAUAACAAACCCUUCAGGUUGUUUCAUGUAUAUCUCUUCAUCCAAUUCACCAUUUAAGAAUGCAGUUUUCACAUCCAUUUGGUGAAUCAUCAGAUUGUGGAUAGCAGCAAGUGCUAACAACAGUCUAAUAGUGGAUAUCCUAGCAACAGGAGCAUAUGUAUCGAAAAAUCAAUACCCUCCUUUUGCCUAAAGCCUUGGAUAACCAAUCUGGCUUUGUACUUGUCAACAGUACCAUCCACUUUCAUCUUUCUCCUAAAGAUCAUCUUACAUCCUAAUGGCUUACAUCCAGGAGGUAAGUCAACCAAUUUCCAGGUAUUAUUUUGCAUGAUGGAAUCCAUCUCACUUUGGAUUGCUUCUUUCCAGAAUACAGCAUCCCUUGAAGCCAUUGCUUCACUAAAAGUCUUUGGGUCUUCCUCAACAUUAAGGCAAUAUUGAUAUUGAAAUUCAAUAUCAUUCCUUGACCCUUCAACCAAAUAGAGUUGAAAGUCAUCACCAAAUGACUUAGCCUUUCUUACUCUCGUACUCUUUCUAGUUUCAGUACUAGUUGAAGGUAUAUCCUCAAUAUUAACUGAGACUUUCGACAUGGAAUUCAUGUCCUUUGGCCUAGGUAUAGAUGUAAACCUUUGUUCAUCAAAGAUAGCAUCUCGUGACUCUAUAACCGAGUUCACAGCAACAUAAUCAUUAGAUUCUAGCACAUAGAAUCUAUAUGCUUUAGAAUAUUCAGCAUAUCCAAUAAAUAUGCAAUCUAUACCUCUUUCACCUAUGGUUUUCCUUUUAGGUUCUGUAAGCCUGACUACAGCCCUACAUCCCCAAAUUUUGAGAUAACUCAAAUUUGGUGUCUUUUUGUGCCAAAGUUCAUAUGGGGUAACCUUAUUCCUUUUGUUAGGAAUUCGGUUCAACAAGUAACAGGCUGUCAACAUAGCCUCACCCCAAAAUCCUUCACUUAAACCCGAAUAAGAUAACAUGGAAUUCACCAUUUCUUUCAAGGUUCUAUUCUUCCUUUCGGCUACACCAUUCUGUUGUGGUGUAUAGGGAGCUGUAGUUUGAUGUAUUAUUCCAGUAGAUUGAAAAUAAACCGGAUCAUAAUACUCACCUCCCCUAUCCGUACGAAGAGUUUUGAUUAGCCCAUUUUGAUGAAGUUCUACCUCUUUCUUAUAAAUUUUAAAUUUAUCAAGAGCUUCAUCUUUUGUAUUUAAUAAAUAUACAUAACAAUACCUUGAUGCAUCAUCAAUAAAAGUAACAAGAUAUUUUUUAUGACCUAAUGAUAGAGUAGCAUGCAAAUCACACAAAUCACUAUGAAUAAGGUCUAAGACUUUAGUCUCACUUUUAACACCCUUAAAAGGUUUCCUAGUGAUCUUGGUCAACAUGCAAGUUUUGCAUUUUUCAAUGUUCAUAUCAAAAGGAGGAAUCAUACUUGUUUUUGACAUAUCUUUUAAUCUUUUGUAAUGAACAUGUCCUAAUCUAGCAUGCCAAAUUUCUGAUUUUGUCAUAUUAGUUAUAGAACUACACGAGGCCAUACAAACAGAUUCAUGAACAAAAGGAACAUCAAUGUUUAAUUUAAACAUUCCAUUACAACGAUAACCAAAUCCAACAAACGAACCAUGUCUUGACAAGAUGUACUUGUCACUUUCAAGUACUUGCUUGAAACCACAAUUAUUUAAAACCAUACCAGACAAUAAGUUCUUACGAAUACCAGGUACAAAUAAGACAUUAUCCAAAUACAACUUUUUCCGGAAGUAAAAACUAAAUUCACACAACCUAAUCCUAGGAUUGGUUCAGUUGCAACAUUGCCCAUCUUCACAAUAGAGCCAUCAUCGAUUGGUCUAAAUUCCUUGAACCAACGACGAUCUUUGCACACAUGGCUUAUUGCUCCCGAAUCAAACCACCAAGCAACGUCAUCAUCCUGCACAUAGAAUGCAUCAGAUAUUAGUGAUACAUAAUUUGAAUUCGUAUUCGAAUUAAAAUUAUUCACUACAAUCUGACCUUGUUGCUUUUCAGGAUCAUUAGAUCCACUUGGACCAGCCUUGUUCUUUCCUUUGAACACUCGGCAAUCCCUCUUUAAAUGACCAGGUUUCCCACACUUCCAACAUGACAAUUUUGUCUGUUUGUUUGGACCUUUGUUCUUAUUUCCUUGAAAUUUUCGUUUGUUACCUUUAGCAUUGUAAUUUUGCUUAACUGUUCCACUUUCCUCUACCAUAUUAACGGAAGAGAAACCUGCUACGGUUUUAUCAUUGACUUUGUCAAUUUCCUGAGCCCUCAGCGACUCCUCAAUCAUGAAAUGACUACCGAGUUGAACCAGAGUCAACUCUUCCUUCUUAUGUUUCAAGGUAUGCUUGAAGUCUUUCCAAGAAGAAGGCAGUUUAUCAAUUAUAGAUGAAACUUCAAUGGAUUCAUCCAUUUUCAAAUCAUGUUGAGUAAACUGACCCAAAAUCGGCAGCAGUUCAUUAUAUUGCUCCAUAACAGGUCUCGAAUCAAUCAUUUUGUAAUUAAAGAAAUUACUAACUAAGAAUUUGUUACUUGAGGCAUCUUCUGUCAUAUACUUGGAUUCAAGAGAGUCCCAUAAUUCCUUAGCAGACUCAACAUUUUGAUAAAUAUCAAAGAGAGAGUCAGACAUACCGUUCAGAAUGUGUCCACGACAAAUGUAAUCGUCGUUCUCCCAUUUCGAACGCUUCCUUGUUUGAUCCAGAGUUUCGUCUUCCAUAUACACCGACAUCGGUGUACUCAGCACAUACACCACAUUCAAUGUUGUCAAGAGAAAGUGCAUGUUCUUCUGCCAUCUUCUGAAAUCAUGCCCUUCAAACUUGUCCAACUUCGCAAACUUGCUUGUCAUCUUUGAACUAUCGUUCGUCAUCUCGAAAGAUUUGAUUCAAUCUUUUGUUGGUUAAUUUUGAAAAUCGAGAUAAUCCUGGAUAAAUCUGAAGUCGUGUAUAAACACUUUCAGAUUGAAUCAAAUUUCGGGGUUCAACCAAAAUUGUUCAAUCGGAUAAAAUCAGAUGAUUAUAAUUCAAGAGUUUUUUUUUUUGUCUUGUAUGUUUUUCACAUCUUAUGCUUUCUGAACCAAGAUGAUUAUUUAUAAUCAAAGAACAGGUAGUUUUUGGCGGUUGAUGAAAGUUAUUUAUUUUUAAAAAUUGCCGUUGAUGGAAGUUUUAGUAACUUCCAUGUAAUUUCCAACCGUUGAUGGAAGUUUUAGUAACUUUCAUGUAACUUCCAACCUUUGCCUAAACCGAACAUCUCGUUAUUACAUUAAAACAAGCGUGCACUCUUAUUUUAACAUAAUAAAGAGAUCAAUUACACUAAAAUGUCUAACAUUCCCCACUUAUGGAUCCUAAUUCAUAUUCACAACAACAAAAUGUCAAAAAAAAUAUUUUCAUGCGAAGCAUUUUUAUUUUGAAAAAAAAAAAAUAGGUUACAUACUGACGGAUAUAUACUGUCAACUAAUAAAAAAAUAUUCCUUUAUAUGACUCUGGCAUGUACAUGGUCAUUAAAUUCUUGUAUUAAAUCCUUUAUUUGACUUUGAGAUGUAUGAAAUGCACAGUCAUGAAUUUGUAUGUGCGUGGAAGCAAUACUGACCUUCCAAAUGAGGAUUGUGAUGUCAUAUUGGUUGCCAUCAUAAGAAGAGACAGGAGAAAUGGCAGCUCCAAUGGCUAUUCUGCUAUUCGUUUGAAUAAAGCCAACACAAAGAAGGUUGUAACAACCGGUUGCCCGAUACGAGUCACUCUGCAUUGCCAAAAGAAAAACCUUCAGAUAUUUAUAAAGGAUCGUACUUCUGCAACUUAAUUGCACUUCUGUUUCACUGUAGCCCAAUUCAAAGUCCCAGACUAACUUUAAUCACUGACUUUCGAGUUUUAAAAAUUAAACUUAAAUUAUUUCGAAGAAGAGUUGAGAUUAUAUUUCAUGUCGUCUCACCUUGACUAAGUGUUUUGUAUGUUUUUUAACAAUUAUACAGUAAUAAUAAUAUUUAUUAACUUAAUGAAUAUUUUUCUGUAAAACAAAAAUUAACUUAAUGGAUAUUAUUUUACAUAACAUGAUAUUAUAUUAAUACAAAAAUUAUUUAUUUUGAAAUAUAUACUAUAAAACAAAUUAAGCAAACCCAGUCUUAUUUAAUUUAUAGAUUAAAUUUGGAUUCAAAUAAAUGAUUUUUGUCAAAAUUUUAGAUCAAAUAAGAAUAAGAAUAUAUAAACACGUCCAUGAAUACCCCUAGCAGCUGUGUAUUAAUUGUAGCUACAUAAUUAGAACUGAAUUUAAAUGUUCUCUUCUUUACCACUAGUACGUUAAAAAAAUGAACAGUAGCAGCAUAAUGGAUUUGGCAUCAAUAGAUAGUUGUACUGACUGAUUUCACCCUCGAGCAAAGCUAUCAGCUGGAUUAGGAGACCAUAAAUUGGUUUAUUAUGUAAAAGAUUGAAAUUCUUCUACUACAUUUUUCUCUAUCAAGUUAUAGUUUUUUUUUUUCUUGGUAAAUAUAUGGUUCUCCAUAUAUCCAUUUUUCCCCGAUAAACCUCCUAACUUCCCAAAAAAUAAUUUUCAUAAUGUAGUGUAUUAAUUCACAGCACCGAAAACCAUUUACUAUUUUUAACUACAUCUAUGCCUUUUGUUUGUCAAAAAUCAGUCCCAAGUUACAACCCAAAUAAUUCAUGUCAACUGAAGGUUAAGUAGGUCAUAAUAAGUUCCUAAAGCCAAUCUUUGACGUGUCUUGAAUUGUUACCGGCCGGCUAGACUAAUUAAUGCACAAGUCAUUAUUUAAUUACUAGUUUUGCUAUUUUGCUUUAGCUGAUUUUCAGAUGUAGCUAAUAUGAAAAUUAACUAAAGAAAAAUAGCAAAACUAGUAAAGUAAUUCCUUCUGAUAUAGUAGGGAAUAAAGUCUCCAGUGUUGAAAAUUUGUUGGAAUUGUGGAGUUAAAUCCAUUAUUUGUGAAACAGAUUGUCAAUCUGUUGUAGAUAUUUUGAUUGAUGAGAGUACAGUAUCAAUUUUCAUAGACACAGAGAGGUAAUUAGAGAUAUACGUGGGCUCCUACUGGAAGGUCUCCAUCAGCUGCAUUUCCAGGGAUGCCAAUUCUGUGGCAGACAUUUUAGCCAAAUGGUGCUUCUGCAAUCACGUUCUGGUUAGGGAGUGGCAGCAACCUCCGCCUGUAGUUUUGGAAGCUUGUCUUCGGGAUUCUUUGUUUGUUCUUUAGUUUUGUUUCAUCCUCUACCCAAAAAAAAUGGAUCUAGGAUAUUGUAUUACUAAUAAAGGAACAGGACAUGUAUAUUAUAUGUGCUGGGUAAUGGUGAAAGUUAAGUUUUUUUGACAUUGACAUCUUUGAGGUCUUACUUUCUGAUUUUAUUCACACUUCUUGACUCUUAGCAUUUUGCAAUUUGGAAUUUUUUCUUUUGUCUUUUAAUAUGGUGUUUUUUUUUUUAUAGAGAUCGUUCUUUUAAAUUUAGUAUAGUAGAAUAUAUUGUGCCGCUGUUUAAAUGUUUUUGUGGUGAUUAUUAACUACUAGGAAAUGUUGAGACUUUUCUGACAAUAAUACUAGCAAUUGUUUAAAAUAUGUCAAAAUCAGAUUUUGACAACUAUUUUAAAAUAUGUCAAAAUCAGUUUUUAACUGUUAAAAUUACAUUUUACGACAUUAUAAAUUGCAAGUUUUUUUUAGUGAGGAUCUAUAGUAAUACUUUAUGACUCAUUAAUUAAAUUUGAUUAAAAAUAUUGUCUUGCUCUCCCUAAAAUAACCAUGUUAUGUUACUGAACAUUAUGAGAAGAUUCAAGUUCAAAAAAUGAAAAUAUUGCAUUUCUUCAUUGUCAGAUGAUAUGUUUUCAAUUAGAAUAAUUAUAAAUCCCCCUAGUUCCCUUGUAUGGUAAGUAUUAAAAACGUUUUAUAUUUUCUUAGACAUUUUAUGUAUUUAAUUUUUUCAUUUAACACUUUCUUUAUAAAAUAGGAGGAGGAUUUUUAGGAAGAUAUAGCAUUUUUCUUUCGAUUAUAAUUUUGUAGAUGCCAUGUUUUUUAAUUUUUUCCCAUAUCCAAGAAUUUUGCAAGGGAAAUUGUGUUGUGAAAGCAAGAUUAGGUGGUUCUUUUUAUAACUAUUAGUGGUUGGUUUUGUAUCACCUUAAAAAUAGGGGUGAAAAUAUUUAGGGUUCUGUAUUUCUUAAAAAAAAAAAUCUUUCAUACAUAUCUCAUUCCUUAUUUUUUUUCUCUGUACAUCAAAUCAAACCGAUUAUUGGUGUUAAUUUAGUGACUUCUAUCCUGUGGCAAUGAUUCAUAUAUUGUGGCAAUUAAGUGACUCCUAUCUUUGGCAAUGAUUCAUAAGGAUAAAUUCCCUUAUGAAAACACUAAUCAAAUCCUUGCUUCCUGUUUUUUCAUUCUCUUUGUGACUAGAAAAGAUGUGAAGGUAACUAAUAUGGAUUAUGAUACAAUAAUACUUUAGGUCCGUUUCAUUUGCUAAAAAGCAUGGUACUGGACAACACAAAUACAAUUGUCCCAUGUUUGAUCUAUAAAAAGAUCAUGGGACAAACAAAUCAAAUGAAGGACAAAACAAAAACUUAUAUUUUUUUGUUACCAUGGGACAACUUUUUGUGCCAAAUACAAAAUACUCAUAAGACAAAAAUACCCAAUUUUAUUUCAUUUAAUGUGCGACCUCCAUUAAUGCGGCUCUUGCCGUCACGCCACCAACGUUGUAACCAUCACUGCGACCACCAUGAUCAUUGUUGUCACUACCAUUAUUACCAUCAUCACUAUUAUUGUCGUUGACAGCACUAUCACUGUAACCAUCACCGUUGCCACUAUUUCCACCACUGCGGUUGCGGUUGCGGUCGCAUUGCGGUGAGCCUGAAAACCUUUAUAUUGCGGGAAAAUGCAUCUGAUGUGGCUGCAAUUGCGGUCAUGAUGUAAUUGCAGAGUGUCAAAAUACCUUGACAUUGCGGUUGUGGACUGCAAUUUAAAACCAUGAUUGUUGUCAUCAUUGUCGUUGGCACAAACUUCGCCACCGUUACCACCAUUUUUUAUAAUUAAUAUUAUUAAAAAGGGUUUUGCAGUAAAUUUCACAUUAUUUUGCUUUGAUUGUGUUGUCCAUUGUCUCACAAACAAUCUACAGGAUAAAAAAAAUGUUCUGUAACUUAAGUAUUUAUUAUGUGCUAUACCUUGGCACAUAUCAAAAGGACCCUCAGUUUUACAGGUUUCAGGCAAACAAUGCUGAGUUGUUGUUUUUUUAAAACUUAUCAAAUUUCAAUUAGCUUUGUUAAAGCAAAUUAUGAGCUUGUGUGAUCUUCUUCUGUUUGCAUUAUGUUUUCUUAAUAUUAUUUCUUACAAAUUCAUUAGGCUACCUGCGGAAUACCUGAAAUAGCUUUUGCAACAUUUGAGAACAUGGAAUAUGGAGAAGGUUUGCCCUCCACAUCUGCUUUCUCUUCCUCUUUCUUCUUUUUCUGAUGCUUAUAUUUGUUUACUUAUAAAGAUUUCAUUUACCAUUUUAAGGGAAUCUCGUUUCUUUUUCUUAUACUCUUACUGGGUUCACAAUUAUGUUUCAAUUCUUAUGGUAUCUUUCUUCUUUUUUGUUUCUGUGUGUUGUGGAGGUGGGAUGCUCUUUUCUAAAUUGUUAAAUUCUCUUUCUUCAUUAUUAAUUCUAUGCAAGGUAAAUUAUCUUUAAUUUGUUACAUAACAGAUUACAUGAAGCCUGAUACAGAGACAUACAAUUGGGUUAUUCAAGCUUAUACUAGAGCUGAAUCUUAUGACAGGUUAGACAUUUAAAUAGCUGUGAAACCUCCCAUUGGAAUUCUUAAAUUGAUUAUUUCAUGGAUUGAGUUAAAUUUGCUAUUAGGUGAUGUGAUUGUAUUAAACUUGUUUGUGUGUGGCUUAUAGAGUACAAGAUGUUGCUGUGUUACUUGGCAUGAUGGUUGAGGAUCACAAACGUAUACAGCCAAAUGCGAAGACCCAUGCGUAAGACACGUAUUAAUUUUCUUUUACAAACCUGGCUAACAUGUUGGAUGUAAAAUUGUUUAAACUUAGGUUUAAAUACCUUUUUAGUCCUUGCAAUUUAGUGUUUUUUUUUUCUUUUUCAUCCUUACAAAAUUGUUUUUUUGUUUUUAGUUCUUGCAAAUUAUGUUUGUUUUGUUUUUAGUCCUUAAAACACUUUAGAUAAUGUUUUAAACAGUAAAAAAAUGUUUUCUAAAGCUUUAUAAGGACAAAAAAUGAAACAAGCAUAAUUUGCAAGGAUUAAGAAAGAUUAUUGUUGUCUCAAAACUGUAAUAUAAAAUUGUUGAGAGAAUAUUAAUAAGGAUGGGUGUAUCUAGAAGUUCUUUUUAGUACGAGGCGGCAAAUAUCUUUCACCAGAAUAAUAUUGUUCGACUUAAAAUAUAUUUAUUACAGGUGACAAUUUCUUUAAAUAUUUAAUCUCAAACUGUAUAUUUAAAGUUUAAAUUUAAAACUAUUAGUUAAAUUGAAAGCUUAAUUGAGGAGAAAGUUUUAGAAGAAAUAAAGUAUAAUGCUAUAAGGAGAAAGAAUGGAUUUUGAAAUGUAGGUAAAACACUUUUUAUUAUUACACAAACAUAUAGUGUGUUCAGUUUUCUAAAAAUGAACCAUCCAAAGCUUAAUUAACAUUAAUAUACUGAACAUAUAAUACUUAUUUGAUAUAUAUAACAAUUAAUAACAUAUAUAUAUAUAUAUAUAUAUUAGUUUAGCUAAAAUGGUUGUAAUGUAAGGUAUAUUCUCUAUCUGUUUAUUUAUUUAUUUUACUUAUCCACUUUUAAUUUUUAAUUUAAAAGACUAAGAUAAUAUUAAUUAUUUUUCAAUUAUAUCCUUUUCGUAUCUUACAUAUAUAUUACUAUUUAAGAAAUAAAAGUGAAAAUGUUUCAUAAGAAACAUAAUAUUUACGCAGCCAACUCCAUGAAAAAAUUUGAUACAAAAUUUAUUUAUUGAUUUGUUAACUAAUGUACUCACCAUAAUGUUUAAAAAUAUAUAUGUUUGACGUUUAGAGAGUUAUCUGAUAUUUAUAAAAACAAACAAAGCAGCGAAACAUUAAAUUUAUAAUAUUUUUUAUUUUAAAAAAUAAAAAAUUAUCAUCCAUUGAAACAUAUAUAAUUUCACUGUCAAAGACUAAGAAAGGCAAAGAAGAAGAGUUGUAGCAGAGUGAGUGAGCCAGAAAAAAGGAGAGGAAAGAUAUCUAAAUGCGUAGGGUUGAGGAGGAGCCAACGAAUCCCGAACUCAAUCUGUAGGAUUCCAACACAAUAUUUGAGGAGGAUUUAUUCGCGCGAUUUAUAAUUGAAAGAUUCCCUCUGCAGCUCUCAAAACCACUAACCCUAAUAGCUGAACUCCAAAGAGAUAAAAUAACAGCAAGUGGCCCUCAUCAAUUCUAAGUAUAUAUAUAAAAUCAUUGCCGCCAUCACUUCUUCUCCAUACUCUUGUCUCACUCUAACAGCCAAAGCAUGGCUUCUCUCUCUUGCUCCGCCAACGACCUUGCCCCACUCUUCAACGACACCGCCGCCGCCAACUACCUCUGCGCCCAAUUCGAUUCCAUUUCUAGAAAGCUCAACGUAACAACCUACGCCGUCGACAACACCUACCUUCUGUUUUCAGCGUAUCUUGUCUUCGCCAUGCAGCUCGGCUUCGCCAUGCUCUGCGCCGGCUCCGUCAGAGCCAAAAACACCAUGAACAUCAUGCUCACCAACGUCCUCGACGCCGCCGCCGGCGGUCUCUCCUACUACCUAUUCGGCUUUGCAUUCGCCUUCGGCGGCCCCUCCAACGGCUUCAUCGGCCGCCACUUCUUCGGCCUACGAAAAUUCCCGAAGGACUCCCCUCCCUCCGGCGACUACAGCUUCUUCCUCUACCACUGGGCCUUCGCCAUCGCCGCCGCAGGAAUCACCAGCGGCUCCAUCGCCGAGAGAACACAGUUCGUGGCUUACCUUAUCUACUCUUCUUUCUUAACCGGUUUCGUUUACCCCAUCGUUUCGCAUUGGUUCUGGUCCUCAGACGGUUGGGCCAGCGCGACUCGUAGCCACGGAAAUGUUUUAUUCGGGUCUGGAGUCAUCGACUUCGCGGGCUCAGGCGUUGUUCACAUGGUUGGCGGGAUAGCGGGCCUGUGGGGGGCUUUAAUUGAAGGCCCGAGAAUCGGCCGGUUCGACCGUUCGGGCCGGUCGGUUGCUUUACGUGGCCACAGCGCGUCUUUAGUUGUGCUUGGUACGUUUUUGUUAUGGUUCGGCUGGUACGGCUUCAACCCUGGUUCGUUUCUGACAAUAGCCAAGGGGUAUGAAAGUGGAGGGUAUUAUGGUCAAUGGAGCGCUAUAGGGAGGACAGCUGUCACGACGACAUUGGCUGGGAGCACUGCGGCUCUGACGACGUUGUUCAGCAAGCGGUUAUUGGCUGGCCACUGGAACGUGAUUGACGUGUGUAACGGCCUGCUUGGCGGGUUCGCUGCCAUUACAUCGGGCUGUGCCGUUGUGGAACCGUGGGCCGCGAUUGUGUGUGGGUUUGUGGCGGCGUGGGUUUUGAUUGGGCUUAAUAAGCUUGCCGCGAAGGUAGAGUACGAUGAUCCGUUGGAGGCGGCGCAGCUUCACGGCGGGUGCGGAGCGUGGGGGGUUUUCUUCACGGGAUUGUUUGCGAAGAAAGAGUACGUGGAGGAGAUUUACGGUGGUGGAAGGCCGUUCGGGGCUUUGAUGGGUGGCGGAGGGAGGCUGCUGGCGGCGCAGGUGAUUCAGAUAUUGGUGGUGUGCGGGUGGGUUACGGCGACCAUGGCGCCGUUGUUCUAUGGGCUUCAUAAGAUGAAACUGUUGAGAAUUUCGAGGGAUGAUGAGACUGCGGGGAUGGAUUUGACGAGGCAUGGUGGGUUUGCUUAUGCAUACCAUGAUGAUGAAGAUGGUUCAAGCAGGGGAGUAGGGUUCAUGCUGCGUAGAAUUGAGCCUGCAGCUAUUACCACUCCCUCUCCCCCCGCUGCACCACAAGUUUAAUCAAAAUGUGGUUUAUGAUUUUCAAGCGUUUUUUAGUUUCGUACCUGCACAUAGCUCUGGGCAAAGCUAGCCUAGUCAAAACCAUAUACAAGGGAUGCAUAUAUGAAGUAUAAAAAUUAAUGCGUGGGGGUCAACAUUUAGGAAAUGUCUUCUAGAGUUACUGUACAUUUUAAAAUGUUUGUUGGCUUGGUUUAUUAUUUUCAUCUUUGAAUUCCAAGACUAGUUUGGUCGACUGUUGUCACGUUAGUUUGUAUCCUGCUGCAGAAUAACUUGCUUGUAAUUGUAUACUGAUUAGUUGAUAUAUAGUGAUAUAUUAUAUGUACUAAAUGCAUUAAUGCAGGUUAUGAUUUUGCUAAUCUUGUGAUAUUAGUGUUUCAAUAUACAUUUUUUUCUUUUGAUAAAAUAAAUAUCAUAGCUGAAGGUCAAGUACCAUCCAUCUCAGCUUGGUAUCUUGAAAUAUGUUCUCAGAGAAUACGAUACUUCAUCAUAACAGAAGACCGACAGUGUAGGAGCAUCAAAAGCAAAUAAAUAUAAUUUAAUAUUUGAAUAGUAUUGUACAUGAAAAUCUUAUGGCCUAACUAUGGAAACUUCAUAAAAAAUAUAUUUGUUUUGUGGUUUUGAAGUUCAUUGUGCUUCCAAUACAUGCAUAUUUGUACACUUCAAUAUUAAUUCUCGCAAGUAAAUAAUAAGGACUAUAGGAUAAUAGGAACCUAAUUCAUAUUUUGUCACGAUCUUGGUGAGAAAUAAAAAACAAUGCAUACAGUUUUAUCUCAACAGUCAACAACUCAUCAACGUGACAAAUCUUUUAUCGCUUAGAGCUUUAUUUGUACAGUUGUAAAGUUCACAACAUCAUUUGAGAAAGCAAGACUGAAAUUAAUCAAGAGAAAGGAGAAGUUAAAAAUUUAUUUUAUAUUGACAGACAGACAUUUGCUGUUGAAAUAUAAACUUGAUUUGGGCCCAAAUUAAUUAUUUGCUUCCUUGGACUUAAUUAUUUUGGGCUUAAGUAAUUAUGGGGUCAUGUUUCUAGAGAAUUCUUGUAGUGUUUGGAGUGUCUAGAUAUUUCUUAUAGUUGUAAUAUUCUCUAGAAUACUCUUUGGAUCUCUAGAGUUGAAAACUCUAUAGAAUUAGUGUAUCUAGAGUUCUCCUUAGAGUAGUAUAAAUAGAGAUGUAAUCCUACACAUUUGUAUCAAGCAAAAAUAGAAAGUUCUCUCCUCCAUAAAGAAUUCUACUUCCUAUCAAGUUUAUAUUCAAAGUCUCCAAUAUUCCUAAACACUUUUCUUAAACAUAAAAAGCCUUAUUUCCAACAAAGUGGUAUCAGAGCUUCAAGAUCCUCAAAAGAUGGCGAAUGGAGGUUUUCCUUUCCAAGUGUCGAUGCUCACAAAGAACAACUAUGAUAAUUGGAGUAUCAAGAUGAAGGCGCUACUAGGAGCUCAAGAUGUGUGGGAUAUCGUAGAGAAUGACUUCGAGGAGCAAGAUGAAGCCUCGCUAAGCCAAGGUGUAAAGGAGACGUUGAAGGAGUCAAGAAAGAGAGACAAGAAAGCUCUCUUUCUCAUUUAUCAAUCGGUGGAUGAAGAUACAUUUGAGAAGAUAUCCAACGCAACGACGGCCAAAGAAGCAUGGGAUAAGCUUCAAACUUGUAACAAAGGAGUUGAGCAGGUAAAAAAGAUUCGUCUUCAAACUCUUAGAGGUGACUUUGAGCGUUUGUUUAUGGAGGAGUCCGAGUCAAUUUCUGAUUAUUUUUCUCGAGUAUUGGCCAUAGUCAAUCAACUUAAAAGAAAUGGUGAAGAUGUUGAUGAAGUGAAGGUCAUGGAAAAAAUACUUCGAACUUUAAAUCCAAGUUUUGACUUCAUUGUAACCAACAUUGAAGAAAACAAGGAUUUAAAGACCAUGACUAUUGAGCAACUCAUGGGUUCCUUACAAGCAUACGAAGAAAAACAAAAGAGAAAAAUUAAACAAAAGGAGGCUACGGAGCAACUACUACAACCCAACGUAAAGGAAGCAAACUAUGCAAAUUACAAGAGCCAAAGAGGACGAGGUCGCGGCCAAGAUCGUGGACGUGGACGAGGACAUGGAGGAGAAGGAAGAGGUGGUUACAACAACCACUCCAACAAAUUCAACAAUGGAGAAAGAAGUUGGAAUCCACAAGUAAUAAGAGGUCGUGGAAGAGGAAAUUCAUGGUCGAGGUAUGACAAAUCACAAAUCAAGUGCUUCAAUUGCAACAAGAUUGGUCACUAUGCAUCCGAGUGUAGAUUCUCGAAGAAGGUUGAAGAGAAAGCUAACUUUGUAGAAGAAAAAGGCGUAGAAGAAGAAACUUUGCUACUCGCGUGCCAAAACAAAUUUGAAGAGAAAAGAAACAAGUGGUACCUCGACACCGGCGCAAGCAAUCACAUGUGCGGCGAUAAAAGCAUGUUCGUGGAGAUCAAUGAAGCGGCAACUAGCGAUGUCUCAUUUGGAGAUGACUCAAAGAUACCAGUCAAAGGCAAAGGUAAAAUUCUCAUACGUUUGAAGAAUGGGAGUCAUCAAUUCAUAUCCAAUGUCUACUAUGUGCCUAACAUGAAGAAUAAUAUUUUGAGCUUGGGACAAUUAUUAGAGAAAGGCUAUGACAUCCAUUUGAAAGAACAUAGUCUUUUCUUAAGAGAUUGUAGACAUAACUUGAUUGCUAAGGUGCCUAUGUCAAAGAAUAGAAUGUUCCUCUUGAACAUUCAAAAUGAUGUGGCAAAGUGUCUCAAGGCUUGCUAUACCGACUCUUCGUGGCUAUGGCAUCUACGGUUCGGGCACCUCAACUUCGACGGUCUAGAACGUUUAGCGAAGAAGGAGAUGGUGAGAGGCUUGCCUAGCAUCAACCACCCAGACCAACUUUGCGAAGGAUGUCUAAUUGGGAAGCAAUUUCGUAAAAGUUUUCCAAAGAAAUCAACAACAAGAGCAACAAAGCCGCUAGAGCUCAUACACACCGAUGUCUGUGGACCAAUCAAACCCAAUUCAUUUGGUAAGAAUAAGUACUUUCUCCUCUUUAUUGAUGAUUAUUCCAGAAAAACCUGGGUUUAUUUCUUGAAGGAGAAAUCAGAAGUGUUUGAAAACUUUAAGAAGUUCAAAGCCCUCGUGGAGAAAGAAAGUGGUCUUUCCAUCAAGGCCAUGAGAUCUGAUCGAGGAGGAGAGUUCACUUCAAAUAAGUUCAACAAAUAUUGUGAAGACCAUGGAAUCCGUCGCCCACUAUUAGUGCCAAGAUCGCCACAACAAAAUGGAGUAGCAGAGAGAAAGAACCGGACCAUACUUAACAUGGUGCGAAGCAUGCUCAAGAGCAAGAAGAUGCCGAAGGAGUUUUGGGCUGAAGCAGUGACAUGUGCAGUUUACCUAAUAAAUCGUUCUCCAACAAGAAGCGUGCAUGAGAAGACACCACAAGAAGCAUGGAGUGGAAGGAAGCCCGGGAUCUCUCACCUCAAAGUGUUUGGAAGCAUUGCCUAUACCCAUGUUCCAGACGAAAAGAGGACAAAGCUUGAUGAUAAAAGUGAGAAGUACGUGUUUGUGGGUUACGACUCAAGAUCCAAGGGGUACAAGCUCUAUAAUCCAAAUAGUAGAAAAAUCGUCAUAAGUCGCGACGUGGAGUUCGACGAAGAAGAUUGUUGGGAUUGGAGUGUUCAAGAAGAUAAGUAUGAUUUUCUUCCUUAUUUUGAAGAAGAUGAUGAAAUUGAACAACCAAUCAUAGAUGAACAUAUUACACCACCUGCCUCACCGACACCAAGGUUGGAUGAAACAAGUUCAAGUGAGAGGACACCGCGACUAAGGAGCAUUAAAAAGAUUUAUGAGGUAACCAAAAACCUAAACGACAUUAACCUCUUUUUUCUUUUUGGUGAUUGUGAGCCUCUAAGCUAUCAAGAAGCAGCGGAAAACAUAAAGUGGAAAGACGCCAUGGACGAAGAAAUCAAGUCAAUCACGAAGAAUGAUACGUGGGAACUUACUACACUUCCACGAGGACACAAAGCAAUUGGAGUAAGAUGGGUGUACAAGGCAAAGAAGAAUGCUAAAGGAGAAGUGGAGAGAUACAAAGCAAGAUUGGUGGCUAAAGGCUAUAGUCAAAGACAAGGAAUUGACUAUGAUGAGGUAUUUGCUCCUGUUGCUCGUCUUGAAACUAUUAGACUGAUCAUUUCUUUGGCAGCCCAAAAUAAAUGGAAGAUCUAUCAAAUGGAUGUGAAGUCAGCCUUCUUGAAUGAUUUUCUCGAAGAAGAAGUCUAUAUUGAGCAACCACUGGGCUAUGAAGUAAAAGGGCAAGAAGAAAAAGUCUUGAAGUUGAAGAAGGCGUUGUACGGUCUCAAGCAAGCACCGAGAGCUUGGAAUGUUCGAAUUGACAAGUACUUUCAAGAAAAGAACUUCAUCAAGUGUCCAUAUGAGCAUGCACUCUAUAUCAAAGCGCAAAGUGGAGAUAUUUUGAUUGUGUGUUUGUAUGUAGAUGACUUGAUCUUUACAGGGAACAAUCCAAGCAUGUUCGAAGAGUUCAAGAAAGAUAUGUCAAAUGAAUUUGAGAUGACGAAUAUGGGGCUCAUGGCAUAUUAUCUCGGCAUCGAAGUAAAACAAGAAGACAAAGGAAUUUUCAUCACCCAAGAAGGCUAUGCCAAAGAAGUCCUUAAGAAGUUCAAGAUGGAUGACGCCAAUCCAGUUGGCACCCCGAUGGAAUGUGGUAGCAAGUUGAGCAAGCAUGAAAAAGGAGAGAAUGUGGAUCCAACUCUUUACAAAAGUUUGAUUGGAAGUUUACGUUACUUGACAUGUACAAGGCAGGAUAUUCUCUAUGUUGUAGGAGUAGUAAGUCGCUACAUGGAAGCUCCAACCACAACUCACUUCAAGGCGGCAAAGAGAAUCCUUCGAUACAUCAAAGGUACAACAAAUUUUGGCUUGCACUAUUACUCUUCUGACAAUUAUAACAUUGUUGGCUAUAGUGAUAGCGAUUGGAGUGGAGACUAGGAUGAUAGAAAGAGCACUACUGGUUUUGUGUUCUUUAUGGGAGAUACUGCUUUCACUUGGAUGUCAAAGAAGCAACCAAUAGUCACACUAUCAACUUGUGAAGCCGAGUAUGUCGCUGCCACAUCAUGUGUUUGCCAUGCAAUUUGGCUAAGGAACUUGUUGAAAGAGUUAAAAAUGCCACAAGAAGAACCUAUGGAAAUAUGUGUUGACAAUAAAUCAGCACUCGCUUUGGCAAAGAAUCCAGUCUUUCAUGAAAAAAGUAAGCACAUCGACACCCGUUAUCACUUCAUAAGAGAAUGCAUUGAGAAGAAGGAGGUAAAGUUGAAGUAUGUGAUGUCUCAAGAUCAAGCUGCCGACAUUUUCACAAAGCCACUUAAGUUGGAAACUUUCGUGAAGCUAAGGAGUAUGCUUGGAGUCACAAAUCAAGUUUAAGGAGGGAUGUUGAAAUAUAAACUUGAUUUGGGCCCAAAUUAAUUAUUUGGUUCCUUGGACUUAGUUAUUUUGGGCUUAAGUAAUUAUGGAUCAUGUUUCUAGAGAAUUCUUGUAGUGUUUGGAGUGUCUAGAUAUUUCUUAUAGUUGUAAUAUUCUCUAGAAUACUCUUUGGAUCUCUAGAGUUGAGAACUCUCUAGAAUUAGUGUGUCUAGAGUUCUCCUUAGAGUAGUAUAAAUAGAGAUGUAAUCUUAUACAUUUGUAUCAAGCAAAAAUACAAAGUUCUCUCCUUCAUAAAGAAUUUUCAUUCCUAUCAAAUUUUUAUUCAAAGUCUCCAAUAUUCCUAAACACUUUUCCUAAACAUAAAAAGUCUUAUUUCCAACAAUGUUAUCAUCAUUAUUUUUCUGGCUAACCAAUUAAUUAAUAAACCAGAAUCUAAAUCGGAUAAUAUAUAUUGAUGAACAGAAUUUCUUACACGCCAUUUUUUUUCUACACACUUUUUUUUUUGUUAAAGUAAAAAGUAAGGAGAGUGUAUUAAAAAGAAAAUGUGUAAGUAUUAAUUAUUUUAUUAAGAGAAAAUUAUUCAAAGAAAACUCUAUACAAAGCCGUGGUUUAAAAUGUACGUAGCAUUAUGAAUUUGGUUACACACACAUAUUCCUACAGUUUUUCAGAAGAAAUGUUUUAAUAAGUUACAUGCUUGCAAUAUUUUAACACACACAUAUAUGGAGAUGCUUAAAAUUGUUCCAUUAUUUUAAAUUAAUUCCUUAUAUACAUAUAUGUUUUAAUUUUUUCAUGUUACCUUAAACCCUAAACCCUAUAAAAAAACUAAGAUUUUUAUCUCUUAUAUUUUUUCUCAACUAUUACAUUAGUCCAACACAUCAGGGUACGUAUCCUGGCAAUGUAGCAAGACUAUAAGCUGGGGCAAGCAUAGAAAAGGAGAAAUGUUAGUUAAGAAAUUAAUAAGACACUAAUAUUAUUUAGAAUUUCAAGUUAUUUUUAACAAGGAGAUUCAACUGUGUAUUUUUAACUAGUUUAAAAUAAAAAAAUGGAGGAUGCUCACUCACGCCAUUCUUGUGGACCUCGACCUUCCAGUCACGUUCCUUCGAAAAGCUUGAGAUGACAGACCACCCAAUAGCCUCAUGUCAUUAAUUAAUCAUUCAAUCAAUUAAGNNNNNNNNNNNNNNNNNNNNNNNNNNNNNNNNNNNNNNNNNNNNNNNNNNNNNNNNNNNNNNNNNNNNNNNNNNNNNNNNNNNNNNNNNNNNNNNNNNNNNNNNNNNNNNNNNNNNNNNNNNNNNNNNNNNNNNNNNNNNNNNUUUGUGAUAGCAACUUUGAUGACUCCUUCCCCGCAUUAUACUAGGCAAGGGAUAGUCCGUAGCCAUCUUCAUCAUUAGCUCUUAGGCUGGAUUAGAUCAAAUCACCUCUAAUUUCUUAUCAUUGUUUCAUCCGUUGAAUUGGGAAAUAUAGUUAUCCAUAAUUACCUAUAUGUUUAUAUCCAAUCUUAUAAAAAAAGGAAAUGAUAAAUUAUAAUUUGAGUGAUAUUUUAUAUGAAUUUUUAUGUUAUUUUAUGUAUUUUUUUUUACAAAAUUUACAUUUGGACUUUAAUUUUGUACUUUGCAAAAAUAAUCAUUCAAUCAAGUGAAAAAAUUGAAAAAUACAUAAUUUCAGGAAGAUUUGAUAUUAUUUUUACUUGAUAACGGUUAUGGUACAUUGAGGUCAUCUAAGAAGAUCACGAUCAAUCAUGAGGGUCUUUGUCAUUUCAUAAUAACUUAAGCUUCGACGCUAGGAUUUCGAUAAUGAUCGUGGUGAAUAUCACCCUGACCAUCGUAAUCUUAAUUAAGAAAAAUUAUCUUUAUAGAUCAUAUUAGAUUAUAUAUAUAUAUAUAUAUAUAUAUAUAUAUAUAUAUAUAUAUAUAUAUAUAUAUAUAUAGUGUGUGUGCCUAAUUAAAAUAAUUAUCUUUAGGAGUCUAUAAAUAAGAAGUUAGAAUUUGUACUUGAUGGAUUCAAAAUUCAUUAUACAUUUUAUGAAUAUUAAGAGCUUUUGAGAGGAGAAGUGUACCAGGAGCCAUUGAAGUAUGAAUAUAUAAGGAUUUUUUAUAUCUCUUUUAUUUUUAUAAUGCAAUAUUGUAUAUUGUUUAGUUAUUCUAUGGCUAUGGUUGGUUAAAUCUCUUAGAACUUGGAUUAUGAUGCAGUUGUAUUCAUGUAUUCUAAUUCUUAUUUUUAAUAAAGUUCUUCGAUGUUAUUCAAUUAAUUGUAUCUUUCUAUCAUUUUCACUUCUAUAUUAGAAUUGGUCACUCUAAUUAUUAGUUAAUUGUAUUUUUUACCAUCUUCUCAUAAUUAAUUGACUUAUAGAAUGAUAGAGUUCAUAAAGAUUGCAUAGUUAAUAGGCAACUAGGAUUUCUUACUUAAAAUAUGAAUUAGGUAAAAAUGAUACGUAAAAUCAUAAUUAAAUCACUCUUAUUCAUACAUAUCUCUUAUCUGUUGCUUGUCUUUAUUUUUUUAUUUUCUUGAUUGUAAACACAAAUAAUCUCUAACUCAAGAUAAAAACUAAAAAUUAUUUAGUUUAUACGAUUUAGAUUAUUUGAAAAUAUAAAUAAUCUCUAAGAUAUGAUAUCCUAACUUUUGAGUCUACAGUUGUUACUCCACAGAAUACACUUAUACUUAUCCUCAACGAAUAUAUAUAUAUUGACAUACACGUAGAGUGAUAAGAGAAGAAUGCUGUGUUAAAUUAAUACAAGAAAUGAUGAAAAUUCAACAAACUUGUUAAUGGGUAUUUUCUUCUCCAUUGAUAUUGAAAACCGGACUACUUUCUAUGAUAACGGACUGGUCCAUCCCGCGAGCUCUCAAUCUCCCCUGACGGUGAUCAAUCAGCAAAUUGCUUUAUGCAUUUCCUGAAUUGUUUAUGGGGAGUGCUGGAAGCAAUUUCAAAAGUGCAGGAAAAAAGAAAAAACACCUGAAUGUAUAGAUGUAUUUUAAUAACCUAUUAAUUACUCAAUCUAUUCUUUUUAACGAUCUUUUUAAUACUUGAAAAAAUUGUAUAAGUUUCACUAAUUAAUAAAUGAUAUUCAUUAAAUAAAGACAAAUUUCAUCCAUACUUUGUUGCUACCAUUUCACAUGUUACCAGUAGGUGUGGCAUGAUCUACAAAUAAUGUUAAUCACACACUCUAUUUGUGACUCACAUGUAAAUUUUACCCAGAAGAAUGUUUAAAAGAAGCAUUCUUCGUUCAAUACAAUAUCCCUUAAAUAAUUAAAUUUAAGUGAACAAAAAAAUUAUUGGGUUUUUUUUUCUAAAAAUUUUGGUGUAUAAUGCAAUUUUUUUUGCACAAAAAAUUAUUGGGGUUUUUUCUAAAUUUUUUGGUGUAUAAUACUAAUGCAUCUUAACUAAAAAGUUUGUAUAAUAUCACUCUCUCUUAAGAAAAAAUUAUGAGAAUAAAAAGAAAUCGAUAUGCGUAAAAUUUCAGACAUCAUAUUUAGCCGGUCAAAACUAGCCAUUUCCAAUCGUGUUUUUUUGCAUUCAUAGAUAUGCAAAUUCCAUAUUUAUUGUUGACUACAACUCAAAAUUUCCUUUUCCGGCCCUUUCAUCGAUCGAAACAAACAAAACAGUGGAAGUGGUAGAAACAAGAAUGGAAAUAUAUAGCACAAUAUUAAUUCUAUAAUUACGUACAAUGAAAGAAUGAAACAUUUAGAGUAGAAGGAUUGUUUGAAACUGAAGUACAUUGAUAUAUAUACGUUGUAUAUAGUUUAUAAUCAGGGGCACUGAGGAUUGUUCCCAGGCCCACCAUAGUAGAAGUAAGUGCCCCAUUCGUUGCUGUAGUAGCUCUUGAUGUCGUAACAGUUUGUGUUUUCGGCCAAGGUUGAGAUGCUCUGCACAGAACUCAAACUGUUAUCUGUGUCUACGAUCUGAAGGUUCCGGAAGUAGCUUGCUUUGCAUGUUUUUUAACAAUUAUACAGUAAUAAUAAGAUUUACUAACUUAAUGGAUAUUUUUCUGUAAAACAAAAAUUAACUUAAUGGAUAUUAUUUUACAUAACAUGAUAUUAUAUUAAUACAAAAAUUAUUUAUUUUGAAAUAUAUACUAUAAAACAAAUUAAGCAAACCCAGUCUUAUUUAAUUUAUAGAUUAAAUUUGAUUCAAAUAAAUGAUUUUUGUCAAAAUUUUAGAUCAAAUAAGAAUAAGAAUAUAUAAACACGUCCAUGAAUACCCCUAGCAGCUGUGUAUUAAUUGUAGCUACAUAAUUAGAACUGAAUUUAAAUGUUCUCUUCUUUGCCACUAGUACGUUAAAAAAAUGAACAGUAGCAGCAUAAUGGAUUUGGCAUCAAUAGAUAGUUGUACUGACUGAUUUCACCCUCGAGCAAAGCUAUCAGCUGGAUUAGGACAACAAAACUGUUAUUUAUGCGAAUGAUAAUUGAGUUCUAAAAUAAUCUCAUUGACUCAUUAUUAAGAAAACUACCAACAGAAGAGGAUGAUUGUUAUUUUACUUGUUUUUAAUAAUAUAUAGUAAUUUUUAUCAAGAAAAUUGAUAUUUUAGUAUAAAUAUUAUAACUUCAUAUAAACAAGAGUGAGAAGAAUAAAUUUUGUCUAUAUAAUCAUAUAUAGACGAUUUAUAUUUGAUAUCAUGUAAUCUUUUAAAGUCAAAUUACAUUUUAAAAACUCAUAGAAGUUGUCUUUUAAUCGUGAUAUAUUAUUUAUACUGAAAUCGGUCAAUAUUUUUUCCUUAAACUUUUGGGUAAAAAAAAAAUUCCUUUCACCAUUUCCUAUAUCUAUACACUAGUAAUUUAUUUCUGUUAGAUAAUUGAAGGUUGUAUGGACAAAAUUCCUUUCUGCCAGCUUGAUUCAACAUAUUCACGAUCGGUCUUAAUUAUCAUGAAUUUGCAGUGGACGAUCUCUUAUAGGCAUACUCUUCGUGAAGAUAAUGCAUGCGCGAACUGGCUUGUCAAAUACGGUGCAAUGCAUGAAAAUGCCUUUGUCAAUAGGAAUGUUUGCCCAACUCAGUUAACCCCUUUUAUAUUGGCUGACCCAAUGGGUGUAGUUCACAUUUGAUACUAAUCUCUCUUGUUUCUGCUUUCUUUUUUAGAUGUAUGCAAAAUUUAAAAUAUAUACAAGAUCUGGAAGCUUCUUUAUCACGAGUAAGAUUAAUCAUUUAGGAUGAUAGUUAAUUCAUUAAUUAUACUGUUAUUUAAUUGGUUAUUAUCUGUUAAACUAAAUUUUUGUGCCAAUGGAUAUUACAUUUGAGCUGGAUCUUUUAAGUUAGUUAAACUAUAUAUAUGAUCCAGAACAAAUUAUAAUGUUUUUCAUUGACUGUCCGCAUCUAUUUAUACUGGGUCAUAUAUAACUUACUAUUUGAAUACUUACAAUUGAACAAUUGAUAGAUGAUUGCUUAUAGUUAAAAAUAUAACAAAACAAAAGAGUUAUCAUGCAAACCAUAACGAGUUGUGCGAAAUAUUGACUCAUUGGUGAUCUUACCCGCUUUUAUAUUAUUGACAGUGUCCUAUUUUAUAUUUUUAUUACUUUUUUUAAAACAUAUUUUCCAUAGGUUAUUUUUAAUUUAUUAUCUAAAAUUUAUUUUUGAUAUUAAUUAUAAUUAAUUUUAUUCUGUUAAAAUCAAACCUAAUUACCCAUAUAUUAUUUUUUAUUAUUUAAACUAUUUAAAAAAUUCAAUUCUUUAUUUUUUUAAUGGAAAACAACUUCUCACCACCGUCCAACCGCGCCACCACCUCCGUCAAACUUGUGUCCUUUCGCCUCGCCUUCCGUCCUCCAAACCUUAAUCCUCCCAUCCGCGGAUGCCAUGUAAACGGUGCCGUCGCCGUUAACGGUGGAAGGAGAAGGGCGGUCCUCGAGCCACGUCACCUGCGCGACCAGGUAGGGUUUGGUGCAGACAACGCUCUCCGGUUUCUUCGUUCUCAGAAAACUCAGAUCUAAGCCUCAGAUCUAAGAAGACGACACUGUUGUUCCUCCCAACCCCAAAAUCUCAGACUCCUCCGAUGCUUCCUCAAAUUGAACUUCCAAGGUUGACCCAUUUCACCCUUUUGCCUCAAUUUCACAAAAUCGUUCGUUUUUUCUAAUAACCCUAAUUUUUAUGGUGCACUCGUGCCCGUGUUUCCCGACGGCGACGACCCAGAAGAGAAACGUGUUGCUGAUGACGAACGUCGGUGGCGCAUGAAGGCGGUCGAAGAGGUGCUAGAGCUGGGUCUCCAUCUUUGUCAUGACGGCUUCAACGACGUCGUCGUUUAAGGUGUCUGCGGAGUUGUUAGAUGAAUCUUCAUGAAUAACAGACCCAACAACAGAGUGAUCUGAGCGCGAACGCGGCAGUGAGAUUCCUCGGAGGUUCGCGGUGGUUUCGCAUUGCGGUGAGUUUCAUUGUGGAUCGUGGUGAUGUUGCGGUGGUUCGUGGUGCUUUCGUUUUGUUGGCCUUUGGUUUUGCCACAUUGGUGGGUGCUGCGGGUUUCACUUUGGUUCAAGUUUCGAUUUUCUUUUUAUUCAAAUACAGAUUUGUUUAUUGAAGACUCGUGUUGUACAUUUAGAUUAUAUUGAAACAUAACAAAUAUACAUAAAUAACAAAAAGUAAAUUUUAAGUAAUAAAUUAAUAAUAAUUUAUUUUUUUAGAUAUGAUAAAUAUUUUAAAGUUUUCUUUUAAAGUAGAUUUAUGUUUUUUUCAGUUAAUAGAAGCUAACUGAUAUAUAUAGAAAAUCGGUAGUCUUUGACCCAAAAUUAUGAUAAAUUAUUGAUUUUUAUAAAAUUAUCUUAAAAAUCAUAAAAUUAAUAAUUUAUAAUUAAAUGAUAAUAUAUAUAUAAAACGAUUUUAUAUGAUCAUUUUGAGUCUCAGGGUUAAACUCUUGUUAUUUUUGUUCAUAAUAUAUAUACAUGAUGGGAGUUUGAAUUUGUUUAAUAUUAUGAUAUUGCACUAUUUCGAUUGGGGUAAUUAUCCUGAAAUCCUAAUUUUUCCUUAACCAAAAUAAAUUAAUAAUAAUUACAUCUAGUGUGAAUAUGGAGAUCAACCUGCUUAAAUAUCGGAAUAUAUAUAAAAUUUAAGGGACAUGAGGUUAAUAUUCGGCUAGUAAGUCUCCAUGCACCUAUCACGCCCAAUCCUUAUUGGAUUGGACUUGGUGCGUGUCGCAACGGAAACGAAGACGAGGUCCCAAGGUCAGAACCUGCUCUGAUACCAUGUUAGAUUUCAUGUUAAAACCAAUUGGCAUUAAGUGAAGUUGCCCAACAGAUAUAUAAGCCGUACUCCAAAGAUUGAGACAGUCGAUGUGGGACUUUGGUUAUUUCCCAAUAGAUUAUUGCUGUCUCAGAACUGUGAUAUGAAAUUGUUGAGAGAAUAUUAAUAAGGAUGGGUGUAUCUAGAAGCUUUGUUUAGUACGAGGCGGCAAAUAUCUUUCACCAGAAUAAUAUUGUUCGACUUAAAAUAUCUUUAUUACAGGUGACAAUUUUUUUAAAUAUUUAAUCUCAAACUGUAUAUUUAAAGUUUAAAUUUAAAACUAUUAGUUAAAUUGAAAGCUUAAUUAAGGAGAGAGUUUUAGAAGAAAUAAAGUAUAAUGCUAUAAGGAGAAAGAAUGGAUUUUGAAAUGUAGGUAAAACACUUUUUAUUAUUACACAAACAUAUAGUGUGUUCAGUUUUCUAAAAAUGAACCAUCCAAAGCUUAAUUAACAUUAAUAUACUGAACAUAUAAUACUUAUUUGAUAUAUAUAACAAUUAAUAACAUAUAUAUAUAUAUAUAUAUAUAUAUAUAUAUAUAUAUAUAUAUAUAUAUAUAUAUAUAUAUAUAUAUAUUAGUUUAGCUAAAAUGGUUGUAAUGUAAGGUAUAUUCUCUAUCUGUUUAUUUAUUUAUUUUACUUAUCCACUUUUAAUUUUUAAUUUAAAAGACUAAGAUAAUAUUAAUUAUUUUUCAAUUAUAUCCUUUUCGUAUCUUACAUAUAUAUUACUAUUUAAGAAAUAAAAGUGAAAAUGUUUCAUAAGAAACAUAAUAUUUACGCAGCCAACUCCAUGAAAAAAUUUGAUACAAAAUUUAUUUAUUGAUUUGUUAACUAAUGUACUCACCAUAAUGUUUAAAAAUAUAUAUGUUUGACGUUUAGAGAGUUAUCUGAUAUUUAUAAAAACAAACAAAGCAGCGAAACAUUGAAUUUAUAAUAUUUUUUAUUUUAAAAAAUAAAAAAUUAUCAUCCAUUGAAAUAUAUAUAAUUUCACUGUCAAAGACUAAGAAAGGCAAAGAAGAAGAGUUGUAGCAGAGUGAGUGAGCCAGAAAAAAGGAGAGGAAAGAUAUCUAAAUGCGUAGGGUUGAGGAGGAGCCAACGAAUCCCGAACUCAAUCUGUAGGAUUCCAACACAAUAUUUGAGGAGGAUUUAUUCGCGCAUGUGAUUUAUAAUUGAAAGAUUCCCUCUGCAGCUCUCAAAACCACUAACCCUAAUAGCUGAACUCCAAAGAGAUAAAAUAACAGCAAGUGGCCCUCAUCAAUUCUAAGUAUAUAUUAAAUCAUUGCCGCCAUCACUUCUUCUCCAUACUCUUGUCUCACUCUAACAGCCAAAGCAUGGCUUCUCUCUCUUGCUCCGCCAACGACCUUGCCCCACUCAUCAACGACACCGCCGCCGCCAACUACCUCUGCGCACAAUUCGAUUCCAUUUCUAGAAAGCUCGUCGAAACAACCUACGCCGUCGACAACACCUACCUUCUGUUUUCAGCGUAUCUUGUCUUCGCCAUGCAGCUCGGCUUCGCCAUGCUCUGCGCCGGCUCCGUCAGAGCCAAAAACACCAUGAACAUCAUGCUCACCAACGUCCUCGACGCCGUCGCCGGCGGUCUCUCCUACUACCUAUUCGGCUUUGCAUUCGCCUUCGGCGGCCCCUCCAACGGCUUCAUCGGCCGCCCAAACUUCCGCCUACGAGAUUACCCGAUGGGCUCCUCUAUCUCC
rnacentral:lncRNA from 1 species